AGCCCUGUAGUAUAGCGGUCAAGUAUUCGGCCCUCUGGAGGCUGAGACCCAGGUUCGAAUCCUGGCAGGGCUA
rfam:Candidatus Pacearchaeota archaeon CG1_02_32_21 cg1_0.2_scaffold_777_c, whole genome shotgun sequence.